GAUGAACGCUGGCGGCGUGCCUAAUACAUGCAAGUCGAGCGAACAGACGAGGAGCUUGCUCCUCUGACGCUAGCGGCGGACGGGUGAGUAACACGUGGAUAACCUACCUAUCAGACUGGGAUAACUUCGGGAAACCGGAGCUAAUACCGUAUAAUAUCUUGAACCGCAUGGUUCAAUAGUGAAAGACGGUUUUGCUGUCACUUAUAGAUGGAUCCCGGCGGCAUUAGCUAGUUGGUAAGGUCACGGCUUACCAAGGCAACGAUGCGUAGACGAACUGAGGGGGUGAUCGGCCACCUUAGAACUGAGACGGGGUCAAGACGACUACGGGAGGGAGCAGUAGGGUAUCUUCCGCAAUGGGCGAGAGUCUGACGGAGCAACGCCGCGUGAGAGACAAAGGUCUUCGGAGCGUAAAACUGUGUUAUUAGGGAAGAACAAAUGUGUAAGGAACUAUGCACGGAUUGACGGUAACUAAUCAGAAAGCAACGGCUAACUACGUG
rnacentral:rRNA from 1 species